AGCAGGCAUGGUGGCAAACACCUCAGCUCCUCGGGAGAGUAGCUCAGCUCCUCUCAGCUACUCGGGAGCCUGAGGCAGGAGGAUCAUUUGAGGCCGGGCGUUAUGGGCCGUAGUGUGCUAUGCCGAUCAGGUGUUCACACUAAGUUCGGCAUCAAUAUGGUGACCUCCUGGGAGCGGGGCACCACCAGAUUUGCUAAGGAAGGGUGAACCAGCCCAGGUUGGAAAUGGAGCAGGUCAUAAGUAACUCCCGUGCUGAUCAGUAGUGGGAUCGUGCCUGUGAAUAGCUACUGCAUUCCAGCCUGGGCAACAUAGUGAGACCUCAUCUCU
rnacentral:SRP_RNA from 1 species